AAACAAUGAUAAAAAGUAUAAAAUUAUCAUUUUGUGUGCAAAUGGGACAGAGCAGAUAGUUGCCCAAUGAAAAAUUUUAAUACGGAAAAGCUUAACAAUAUUGUAAGACUAAGUCAAAAUAUCAUCAGGAUAGUAGAAAAAGAGUAUUAUCAUAUAUAAAUGGUAUUGAACAAUAUGGUUCAUGACUUAUGCAAUUAAGCUGCCG
rnacentral:lncRNA from 1 species